rnacentral:lncRNA from 1 species
CACCAGUGAAUGAACAAUUCAUGGCACACUGUGGGCAACCCUGCCUUCCUCUUGGGUACAGAGGCCUAGGGCAAGUGUUCCUUUUUUUUUUUUUUUUAAACCUAGAUCAAUUUUUCUUUUCUUUGAGAUAAACUUAUUAAAAAAGCACUACUAUAGAAAAUCUCAAAUCCACUUUUAGCCUUCUAUUUUUUUUUUAAACCAGGAAGUAUAUUCUGACGAAGGGCCCCACUUUUGCAGGUCUUGCACGCCCCUUCCUUACCCAGACUGCAGAGCUUCAGGAUGGUGAAGAUCACCCAAGGGCAUCUGUAGGGGGUGGUGUCUCCAGCCACCAGCUCAAGGCACUGUCCAGCCUGUGUUGUAUUUGCUUUGCAGCCCACCACUCCCAGUGCCUCUGAAGUGUGUUUUCCCCAGAGUGACGUGAGCAGUCGAGACUUGCCUAAGGGGGAACAGAAACCUGAGAGGCAGUGAAGGAGACUGUACAUAAAGACGUGGCAAACCUUAAGUAUAGCAAUAUAGUUACCGGGUGAUGUUCGGGUGGGCAGCUCCAUUAUAAAGAGUGUGAAUGAGUCUGUGAAGCUGCAAUUAGCAAGNNNNNNNNNNNNNNNNNNNNNNNCCGCCUACCUUGUAGACAGUAAUUUGUACACUGUAUAGUUUUGUUAAGAAUUUUUUUUUAAAUUAAAGUUCCCAUGUUUGUAAAGCUAACUUUUUAACAAUUAUAAUGGAACUGUAUGUUGUUUCCAUUUUUAAAGUAAACAAGAAUAUUCCUUGUUUAGAGACUGGACUCGAGUUAAAACUCUCCAGGCUCUUAAGUUAUGUAUUAAAAAAAAAAUCUGUCCAUGUUAGGAGAUAUUUCACAGAUUCCCAUGCUUGAAAAGCAUAGGACACUAAUCCUUUAAAAAAAGUGUAAAUGGAGAAAAGUUAUAUUUUAUGAAGGUUAUUUUGUUGUAUUUAGUAUUGGAAAAGUUGGUUUUCAGAGCAUUUCAGAAUGUCGGAAGCACCACUGUCCUUUUAUUAGUAUAUAAGAUCUUUAGCAAACAUUUUCUCUCUUUUUUUUUUAAUGGUUAUUCCAUGAUGGUAUUUAAGGUUACGUUUCACAGAGCAUUCAGGAUAGGCAGAAAACAAAGCAGUGCUAUGUCUCACAUAACGUGUCCUCAGGGAGCAGAAUCUUGGAUUUGUGACUUGUAGCUUCAAAAGGACUCAACGGCAGAGACUGCACGGGAACAUCUUGAGCAGCAAAGCAGGGCAUGUUCUCUACCUAGACGCAGAUUCAAUGUACUGUGUGAACGGAUGAAGGCUGCAGAAAGUUACCCCAUAUCAGUGGACAGUAUUCAUUCUCCGUGAAACAACUCUACAAUCUUGCUGGCAGAUAGGCCCCAAGCAUGACAUUCAAUAUAGUUUACAUGUUCCUGUCAAGGUCUUUUGUUAACAUUAACCAGCUGCAUGCUUCCUGGACUUUAAAAAUUGGGGUUUCUAUAUUUUAAAAAAAAAUUUUUUUUAUGUGCAGGCUAUUCAAGUUCAAUAGUAAAAACUCAAAAUUGAAUGUUCUCCUCCAUGCUGAAGGAGCUGAAAACUGCCUUCUUCAUAGUUUGCACUUUCUGGUAGUCGCCCUGUUUUCUCUAACUCCUUAAAAUUGUGUGGGUGGAGUGGAUCCCUGCACUGGGGGAUAACAUGGACCACUGAUUUUGCCCUUUGACCCUGCACAAUGACCUUUGCAUCAGCCAAACUCAUUGCCAUGACAACUCUUUGUACUGUGUCGUGCCACAGAUCUGUUGGUCACAUUGUUAAUAGUAAAGGGGACAAGUUGGAGACGGUCAAUUUUUACAUUUUUUUUUUUGUUGUUGCAGUUUUUCUUCAAUGGUUGUAAGUAGUUUUUUUUUUUUUUUAAUGAUAAAAGGGUUCAGUAGUUAAUACUCUUUAGAAAUAUCUGUGUGUUGCAAUUCAAAUGUAUGUUGAGAUUGUGAAAGCGCUUCAGUGGCACUAGCCUACGGGGACCCUAGAUUAAGCCUUUGAUAACUUUUAUUGCAUGAUACAGUACCAGUAACAAAAGGUGGCCUAAACACAUGAAAAGCAGUGUAAGCUAGUGACACUAAAGCCAGUCUUGUAUUACUGUAUUUUUGACAGAUGGUUUUGAAAACUGUGCUACAGGGACUGAUGUGGCAAAUAUAUCUCUUUAUGCAGAAGGAAGUCUUUUUUUUUUUUUAAGAAAAAAAGAAGUAUGGCUUAUUAUGCAUUCUUCAUCGAGGGCAUUGAAGUUGCAUGGACUGAUAAAAGUUGAUGCAAAAUGAGAAAGAAACAAAAAACAAAAACAAAAAAAAAAAACAAAAAACAAAAAAACCAGCAAAAUGUUUACCAAAAAACUCAAACAAAUGAGCAGUGCCUGUUCAAUUUCACAGUCUCUGUUGAGUUCAGUUGUAAAUAUGUUUCAAAUGACAUUUUCUUGGGAAAAAAAAAAUCUCUACAACAUUGUGGAAUGUGAGGGGCAACUGUCUCCCGGGCAUAGGCGUCUCAAAGCUGCAGUAGAUUGCGCCUUGAUCAGGUGGUUAAUUUGUGCUUUUAUCACGGAGAACUUUGAGCAUCCUGGGAAGAGGUGCCCCCACCUCAAUGAUAUUUCUCUGAGAACAACUUUUGUAGGACUGUGUGUUUCUUUAGAUACAUUUAGUACAACUGUAGGUGACGAGUAGUCAGUGAUUGCUUGCUAGCUACACACCAGGGUUGAUCCAUUUUAAAACUUUUGGCAUUUUGUCCUCGUGGGCCAUAAAUACAGAACCUUGUGUUUUAAUUAGAUUUUCGGGGGGAAAAGGAGGCACAUGCAUAAUCUCCAUGUAACAAACCUUUAGCCGUGGGAUGUAUUAUAUGACAGUUACUUAAUUUCUGGAGUUCGGGCCUCUGGGAUAGGCCCCCAGACGGGGCCAGAAUGUUAGUGAAGGUUUUAUUGUGCCCGGUUGGAGGAUAACGUUCUUUGUGUACUUUUUGUGGGUCGCAAAUGAACUCAAUUGCCACAAGUUUUAAACUGGUGUAAAUCAAGCUUGACUUAAUGUGAUUGUUACUGUUAUAUCCAGCCUAUACUGCUAGCAGCUGCUCAUACUGCAGUCAAUUACUGGAAGCGGAUAUAUUUCCUAUGCAAAAACUGUUUAAACAAUAAAAUGAGCUAUGCUACAGA